rnacentral:SRP_RNA from 1 species
GCCAGGCAUGGUAGCACGUGCCUGUAGUCCCAGCUACUUGGGAGGCUGAGACAGGAGAAUCACUUGAAUCCAGGAGGUGGGGGUUGCAGUGAGCCGAGAUCUCACCACUGCAUUCCAGCCUGGGUGACAGAGUGAGACUCUGUCUCAA